rnacentral:lncRNA from 1 species
AAUGGAGGAAACAAGCUAAACAAUUACUGUUCCCAGGAAAAAAAUGGCAAGACCAUGAUAAGGCACAAAGUGUGAACAAUGUAUGAAUUUUCUAAUGCACAGUAUAUUUGCCCUUUUUUAAACUUUUACUUUCAUUGCAAUGUUGGAGAAUUACUCUUGAUUUAGAUACGUGAGUUGUGCUGAAAUAUGGUAAUAAAAUUUGUUGUGGUAAUCAAUGAGUUUUAUAUAACACAUCAAUAUAGAUAACUUUCUCCUGGAGAAUCUUGUGUUUUAAGCACUAAUCAAAUUGCACUAAGAAUUGUAUGAUUUGCAGUUCUUUUUGGAGACUUCAUUCAUGACAAUGCUGAAGUAGUUUUACAAAGUGUCUUAAUUCUGUGUAGUUCUUAAAGCCAAGAUCCAAACCCUGCACCUAAAUAAAAUUCAAGGGAGAAAGCAAGGGUAGAAUGCUAAAAGAAAAAAAAAAAAAGUAGAUUACUUAAUUAGUAACACUUGAUUAAGAGUGAUUUUUUACCUAAAAAUUUGUUGUUUUCUUUUCCCCCUUCCUUUCUGUUUGUGUCCCAACUCCAAACAGUGCUGACAGUGAUGCUUCUUCAAAACUUUUCCUGAAACAGUCUGGAUUUUUUUAGCUGAAAUAUUUUAUUUGGUGACAGUUAUAUAAUGGGAACCCUGAACUCAGGAGUCUCCUAAACAGAGGCCCUGACAAGACCAUGACUUCUGUAAAACAGCCACUGCCAGAUUUCAGGUCCAUGCAAAUAAUGGCAGCAAGACCUCCUAGAUGAAGUAUUUUUCUUCUCACUCACAAGCUUGGUGUGUUGCAUAUGAAAAUCUACGAGGACCCAAAACCCCAGACUUUAUUUUUGGGCAGCUCCCCAUAGUUGUUGAUGCAGAAAUAAGGGAUUUUUCCAGAGUUUUUACAUCAGAAGUGUGGGACAGAAGAUAA